rnacentral:rRNA from 1 species
UACAGAGGUCUCAAGCGUUGCUCGGAAUCAUUGGGCGUAAAGGGUGCGUAGGCGGUGGGGUAAGUCAGGGGUGAAAUCCCGGAGCUCAACUCCGGAACUGCACUUGAUACUGCCUUGCUAGAGUACUGGAGAGGAGACUGGAAUUUACGGUGUAGCAGUGAAAUGCGUAGAGAUCGUAAGGAAGACCAGUGGCGAAGGCGAGUCUCUGGACAGUUACUGACGCUGAGGCACGAAGGCCAGGGGAGCAAACGGG